rnacentral:rRNA from 1 species
UAAGCUAGAGUACAUGAGAGGUAGCUGGAAUUCCCUAGUGUAGGAGUGAAAUCCGUAGAUAUUAGGAGGAACACCAAUGGCGUAGGCAGGCUACUGGCAUGUUACUGACAUUAAGGCACGAAAGCGUGGGGAGGCGAACGGGAUUAGAUACCCCGGUAGUCCCCCGCCGUAAACUAUGGAUGCCUAGCUGUUAGAGGUAUCCGACCCCUUUAGUAGCGAAGGCUAACCGCGUUAAGCAUCCCGCCUGUGGAGUACGAGCGCAAGCUUAAAACAUAAAGGAAUUGACGGGGACCCGCACAAGCGGUGGAGCGUGUUGUUUAAUUCGACGAUAAGCGAAGAACCUUACCCAGGCUUGACAUCCUAGGAAGGUCUCCGAAAGGAGACUGUGCCUUGUGAGCCUAGUGACAGGUGUUGCAUGGCCGUCGUCAGCUCGUGUCGUGAGAUGUUUGGUUAAGUCCAUCAACGAGCGCAACCCUUAUAGUUAGUUGAAUUUUUCUAGCUUGACUGCCCCUGGUAACAGGGAGGAAGGAGGGGAUGAUGUCAGGUCAGUAUUACCCUUACGCCUGGGGCCACAAACACGCUACAAUGGCCGGUACAAAGGGCAGCCAACCCGCGAGGGGGAGCAAAUACCAUCAAAACCGUCCCAUUCGGUAGCAGGCUGAA